GGAGGGUUGGCUGAGUGGUCGAAGGCAGCCGUCUGAUAAGCGGACGAACCGAAAGGUUCCGAGGGUUCGAAUCCCUCACCCUAUU
rnacentral:tRNA from 1 species